AGAAUCAACGCUGGCGGCGUGCCUAACACAUGCAAGUCGAACGCGACUGGGGACUUCGGUUCCCAGUUGAGUGGCGAACGGGUGAGUAACACGUGGGUGACCUACCUUCGAGUGGGGGAUAACGUUCCGAAAGGAACGCUAAUACCGCAUGACGUUCCGGGUUUGAACACCUGGAAACCAAAGCCGGGGACCGCAAGGCCUGGCGCUAGAAGAGGGGCCCGCGCCUGAUUAGCUAGUUGGUGAGGUAACGGCUCACCAAGGCGACGAUCA
rnacentral:rRNA from 1 species